rnacentral:rRNA from 1 species
GACGACCGGCGCACGGGUGAGUAACGCGUAUGCAACCUACCUUUGACUGGAGAAUAGCCCGAAGAAAUUCGGAUUAAUGCUCCAUGAGACCACAAUACCGCAUGAUAUAGUGGUAAAAGCUCCGGCGGUCAAAGAUGGGCAUGCGUGCCAUUAGUUAGUUGGUGAGGUUACGGCUCACCAAGACAACGAUGGCUAGGGGGUCUGAGAGGAUGAUCCCCCACACUGGUACUGAGACACGGACCAGACUCCUACGGGAGGCAGCAGUGAUGAAUAUUGGUCAAUGGACGCAAGUCUGAACCAGCCAUGCCGCGUGCAGGAUGAAUGCGCUAUGGGGAGUAUCUUGAUAUCCUACCAGAAGAAACUUCCUGAUGUAUCAGGAACUGACGGUAUUGUAGGAAUAAGCAUCGGCUAACUCCGGGCCAAGCACCCGCGGUAAUACGGAGGAAGCAAGCCGUAACCGGAUUCAAUGGGUUUAAAGGGUGCGUAGGCGGGGUAGUAAGUCAGUGGUGAAAGCCUGCGGUUAAACCGUAGAAUUGCCAUUGAUACUGCUAUUCUGGAGUGCAGUUGAGGUAGGCGGAAUGUGUAAUGUAGCGGUGAAAUGCUUAGAUCUUACACAGAACACCGAUUGCCUAAGCAGCUAACUAAACUGUUACUGACGCUGAGGCACGGAAAGCGUGGGGAGCGAACAGGAUUGGAUACCCUGGUAGUCCACGCUGUAAACUUAUGAUCACUCGCUGUUGGCGAUACAUUGUCAGGGGCUGAGCGAAAGCAUUUAAGUGAUCCACCUGGGGAGUAACGGCCGCAAGGUUGAAACUCAAAGGAAUUGACGGGGGCCCGCACAAGCGGUGGAACAUGUGGUUUAAUUCGAUGAUACGCGAGGAACCUUACCUGGGCUUAAAUGCAGAACGACGUACCGGGAAACUGGUACUCCCUUCGGGGCGGACUGCAAGGUGCUGCAUGGUUGUCGUCAGCUCGUGCCGUGAGGUGUCGGGUUAAGUCCCAUAACGAGCGCAACCCUCAUUGUUAGUUGCCAGCGAGUAAUGUCGGGGACUCUAACGAAACUGCCGGUGUAAACCGUGAGGAAGGUGGGGAUGACGUCAAAUCAGCACGGCCCUUAUGUCCAGGGCUACACACGUGUUACAAUGGCCAGUACAAAGGGCAGCUACCACGCGAGUGGAUGCUAAUCUCUAAAGCUGGUCUCAGUUCGGAUUGAAGUCUGCAACUCGACUUCAUGAAGCUGGAAUCGCUAGUAAUCGCGCAUCAGCCAUGGCGCGGUGAAUACGUUCCCGGGCCUUGUACACACCGCCCGUCAAGCCAUGGAAGCUUGGGGUACCUGAAGUCCGUAACCGAAAGGA